CGUUACGGCAGUUGUGCGUGGGAGGCCUUCGGGUCUGCCGGUUUUCGAUCCCGGUUCGCCAACCUGCGUACAACUGCCACCUAA
rnacentral:antisense_RNA from 1 species